AUGGCAACAGUGCUUCUUCCUUGUGGUUUUGAUAGAAUUUACUGCUUUGGAGUUUGCCGAGUUGUGUUGUGUAUCAGUUUUAAGCUAGUAUGGUUUUCAUUUAUGGAAGCUAAAUUUAAUGGAAAAAAUCAAUGCUGGUAUGAAAUAGUGGUACCAGAGUUAAUGAUUUUGCUGAUUGGAAAUGGGAUAGGGAUCAUUUUACUGCUGGCUAAGCUUCUUAGCUGCAGUUCUACCAAUUUUAGUCUUCAAGCUUUUAUAUUAAAGUCAUUUCUACAUGAUCUUUGGAUCUGA